UCUGGCGGCAGUAGCGCGGUGGUCCCACCUGACCCCAUGCCGAACUCAGAAGUGAAACGCCGUAGCGCCGAUGGUAGUGUGGGGUCUCCCCAUGCGAGAGUAGGGAACUGCCAG
rnacentral:rRNA from 14 species